GGGCCUCUAGCUCAACUGGCAGAGCAGCGGACUUUUAAUCCGCGGGUUCCGGGUUCGAUCCCCGGGGGGCCCACCC
rnacentral:tRNA from 1 species